GUUUCGAUCUGCUGGGGGCAGAUGAAGUGAAUGUGGGUGUCGAUCGAGCCCGCGGUGAGGAUGUGUCCCUCCCCGGCGAUGGCUUCGGUGCCUGGGCCCACGACGAUGUCGACCCCUGCCUGGGUAUCCGGGUUGCCCGCUUUGCCAAUGCCGCAGAUGCGGCCAUCGCGGAUGCCGAUGUCGGCUUUGACGAUGCCCCACCAGUCGAGGAUCAGGGCAUUGGUGAUCACGGUGUCCACCGCUCCGGCUGCCCGCGUGGUCUGGGCUUGCCCCAUGCCAUCGCG
rnacentral:sRNA from 1 species